rnacentral:rRNA from 1 species
AACCUGCCCUCCACUCUGGGAUAACGCUGGGAAACCGGUGCUAAUACUGGAUACGACCUACUCGGGCAUCCGAUGUGGGUGGAAAGAUUUAUUGGUGGGGGAUGGACUCGCGGCCUAUCAGCUUGUUGGUGAGGUAAUGGCUCACCAAGGCGACGACGGGUAGCCGGCCUGAGAGGGCGAUCGGCCACACUGGGACUGAGACACGGCCCAGACUCCUACGGGAGGCAGCAGUGGGGAAUAUUGCACAAUGGGCGAAAGCCUGAUGCAGCGACGCCGCGUGAGG